AUGAUGCUAGCUGGAUUUGGGGUGUUCCAGGGCCCCCUGGCGGAGCUAGCACAGAGACGGGCCCUGGGGGUCGGGCAGGCAGCCACUGGUUCCUUGUGCAUGCCCAGAGAGGUGGGGUUCAUUGCAAGUACCUUCCUCUGUCCGAGGAAGGACGUGUGUGUGUGCCCUGCUGUGGGCAUGAGCUCGACUACCCUGUGUGCUGUGCUUUACCUCCUGGCUUUUGGAGCUCAGCACCCUGACUGCCCCAAGUGUGGCCUCACCCACGUCCUCCCAGGCUGGGGGAGGAUGGCCCUGUCCUCACUGAGCACCUUCUUACCCAGAUCCAUUUUCAACCCCUCACUUUUCAAUUCAGGAACAGAGACCCAGAGAAAGGUGAAGCUCAAGGCCCAUGGGGUGUGCAGAAUCCAGAGGACCUGGAAACUUCUGGCAUCUGAGAGCUCAUCCAGCUCAGAGCAGGAUGACUGUGUCAUCGACACCACUUCGCUGAGCAGGGUGCCCGUGCACACGGCCAUCAACAGAAGGCGGAAGAGAAGAGAGGAUGAAAAUGACACAGCUGAGGAAAUAAUAGAUCCCGGCUUGGUGCAGAGCUUUAGAACCAGCCAGAACAUGGAGCAACACCUGCUGUCUGGCCACUUGGGCAGGGAGGACCUGGACGCAUCCGACGUCCUGGGGAACAGGAACGUGGUCCUCCCCACCAGGCAAACCCUGACGAAAACGAUCCCCAGUGCCUUCGACCACCCAUGCCAGAACUUCGGGGACCAUCCUCGUGGGAACUUUCCCCAUCUCCAUGAUGCACUGAUGCUCCAGGGACCCAUGUCCCACGUGCAUGUGCAGAUGACUUCUGUGACACUGGAAUGGCAGUCAUGUCCUGCCCAUGCCCAACUUGGGGGCCAUGAAUGCAGCGAGCCCAAGCCCGGAGGUGAGGACGUAUGGAGUGGAUGCCUGUCAGCCUGAACAGACAACAUGGGAGGUUACCCCAGGCAGGAUUUCCAGGGCUGGGAUGGUCCGGGAGUAAGAGAGACUUCCGAUGAGGCAUCAGGUGAACCACUACUUAGAAAAGUUUCCUGGUUUGGAUGUGGGAGGUGUAAGUUUUUGGCAUCUGAUAGAAUUGGGGCUAUUUUCUGCCUUUAAAAGACACGUGGAAAAGAGACCUGGGUGGGGAACCCUCGUCCUCUUCAAAUUCCAGUGUCAAUUCUAUGGCCUGCUGCAUAGGCAGUGGUGUCUCCUUCUCCAAACACAGCAGAGGGCAAAGCGGCACCUAUAGAGCUGGAGCCCCUGGGGCUUUGGCACCAUCUUGGUGCUAACUGCCUAUUCCAUGGCUAUUUCUAGGGUCUGCCCUUUACCUGCCCAGAGCUCUUAGAGCCUUGGAGGGCAAUCCUGAUGGAGUUGAGAAGGACAUCUUCUGGAAGCAGAUUGUCAUCACUGCCCCCUGCACAGAGGGGCCAGAAGAUAACCUCGGGCCCGACCACCUGGGCGAGGAGUCC
ensembl:lincRNA